rnacentral:tRNA from 1 species
GGGGUGGUGGUUCAAUGGUAGAAUGCGCUCGCCUGCCACGCGGGGGGUCCGGGUUCGAUUCCGGCCGACGCA